GUCUAUGGCCAUGCCACCCUGAACAAGCCCAAUCCCCUCUGAUCUCGGGAGCUAAGCCAGGUCGGGCCUAGUUAGUACUUGUAAGGGAGACCAUCUAGGAAGACCAAGUGCUGUAGGUG
rfam:Pteropus alecto contig86734, whole genome shotgun sequence.